rnacentral:rRNA from 1 species
CGCGUAGGUGGUAGUGCAAGUCUGAGGUGGAAUCUUAGGGCUUAACCCUAAAAUUGCCUUGGAAACUGCAUUACUUGAGUCAGUGAGGGGAGGGUAGAAUUCCUGGUGUAGCGGUGAAAUGCGUAGAUAUCAGGAGGAAGGCCGGUGGCGAAGGCGGCCCUCUGGCGCUGAACUGACACUGAGGCGCGAAAGCGUGGGGAGCAAACAGGAUUAGAUACCCUGGUAGUCCACGCCCUAAACGGUGGGUACUAGGUGUAGGGCCUCGUAAGGGUUCUGUGCCGAAAGCGAAAAGCAUUAAGUACCCCGCCUGGGGAGUACGGCCGCAAAGGUUGAAA